rnacentral:lncRNA from 1 species
GCUUUCAUGAACAUUUUAUCAUGCCAAAGAAAAUAUACUAGGUAUUGUGCUCUGCUUUAAACAAACCCAAUAUAUGAACGGAUUGACAAAGUAGUGGCAGGUUAUUAGCAAAAAGUUUCAACAUAAUUAGUAACAACAAGCUUUUCUGGUGCAUUUUUAAACAAUUAGUUUAAUCAGUUCACACCUGCCUCGCUGUCACAUACAUAAUGUCUAUUUCCUUGAAACAUCUUCCAGUCAAAUGUAUUACAACCAACAGGAACAAGAACAAAAUCGAUGUUCUUAUCGUUUUCAGUUCAGCUUCUGACAAAAAAAUACUGAAGUCAUUGGGGCAAUUCUUGCCCUACAGUAUGGGUAGAGUUGUGUUAGAUACAAAGUGAGACAAUAGGAAACAUUUUUAAAUGAACAACAAGCUUUCACAGAGACUGUCUCUAUCACAUUGUUAUUACAACAUAGAUGAGCUGAAACUUCAUUUGUAUAGAUUUAGAGGAAAGAAGACCCUAAAGAGACAACAAGCAUAUAGAGGUAGUUGAAUAGCAAUAUGGGAAGAAAAAAAAGAAGCAUUAUAUUUAUUCCCCGUUUGGGUCAUUACAAUGCAAGAGUAAAAUGGCUGCUUAACAAACAAUGGGAAUUACAAACACAAAGACACAUUUGCCACUGUUUAAAUGGCUUGCUUGAUAUUUUAAUCCUGGCAUUACCAAGAACUGCAUAAAAUGAUGGAACUAGUUUAUCUAAGGUAAAGCCUAUGAAGCCACACUGAACUAUUUGCUCUCCUUUGAUUUUGUUGUUGUUUAUUAUCAUUGCUUUGACUAUAGAUAAAUGUCAAGCAACUUUUAAAAUGAAGCAUAAGCUACAGUGUUGCUUUGUAAACUUGUUAAUCACAUUUGCUGCG